UCCGGUUUGUCACCGGCAGUCUCAUUAGAGUGCCCUUUCGUAGCAACUAAUGACAAGGGUUGCGCUCGUUGCGGGACUUAACCCAACAUCUCACGACACGAGCUGACGACAGCCAUGCAGCACCUGUGUUACGGCUCUCUUUCGAGCACCCCCACCUUUCAGCAGGGUUCCGUACAUGUCAAGGGUAGGUAAGGUGGGGAUGACGUGUCGUUACCUUA
rnacentral:misc_RNA from 1 species